AUACGGUGGUGGGGCAAGCUUCCAACAACUUCUUGAAUCUCUCCUAGUACUCAUAAAAAGUUUCUCCAUCUCUUUGCAUAAUGCAAGAGAUUUCCUUCUGCAGCUU